rnacentral:miRNA from 14 species
AGUUUAAGAUUCCUUCAUAGCUGGGCAGUGGUGGCACACACCUUUAAUCCCAGCAAUUGGGAGGAAGAGGCAGGGGGAUAUCUG